CACCGUAUAAAUAUCCAUCUCCACCACCACCAGUUUAUAAGUACAAAUCACCUCCUCCACCAGUGUAUAAAUACAAAUCUCCUCCACCUCCACCUAAAAAGCCAUAUAAGUAUCCAUCUCCACCUCCCCCUGUUUAUAAAUACAAAUCUCCACCACCACCAGUUUACAAGUACAAAUCACCUCCUCCACCAGUGUAUAAGUACAAAUCUCCUCCACCUCCACCUAAAAAGCCAUAUAAGUAUCCAUCUCCACCUCCCCCCGUUUACAAAUACAAAUCUCCACCACCACCGGUGUACAAAUCUCCACCUCCUCCCGUUUACAAAUACAAGUCACCACCACCCCCAGUGUACAAAUACAAAUCUCCACCUCCCCCCGUUUACAAAUACAAGUCACCACCACCCCCAGUGUACAAGUACAAAUCUCCACCACCACCAGUGUAUAAAUCUCCACCACCACCCUACAAGCAUAUAUCUCCACCACCAACGCCCAAGAAACCAUACAAGUACCCAUCACCACCACCACCAGUUUAUAAAUACAAAUCUCCACCACCACCAUACAAGUACCCAUCCCCACCACCACCUCCGUACAAAUAUCCAUCACCACCACCACCAGUCUACAAAUAUAAGUCUCCCCCACCACCGUACAAGUACCCAUCACCUCCACCGCCACCAUACAAAUAUCCAUCACCACCACCUCCAGUUUACAAGUAUAAGUCCCCUCCUCCACCUGUUUAUUCACCACCUCCACCACAUUAUGUUUAUGCUUCAC
rnacentral:lncRNA from 1 species